rnacentral:rRNA from 1 species
UACAGAGGUGGCGAGCGUUGUUCGGAUUUACUGGGCGUAAAGGGUGCGUAGGUGGUCUUGUAAGUCGGAUGUGAAAUCCCACUGCUCAACGGUGGAACGGCAUCGGAAACUGCGAGACUUGAGUGCAGGAGGGGAGAGCGGAAUUCUUGGUGUAGCGGUGAAAUGCGUUGAUAUCAAGAAGAACACCGGUGGCGUAGGCGGCUCUCUGGAAUGCAACUGACACUGAGGCACGAAAGCUAGGGGAGCAAACAGG